UGGCGGACGGGUGAGUAACGCGUAGGAACCUGACGCGCAGUGGGGGAUAACGCUGGGAAACCGGCGCUAAUACCGCAUGUGGUCGCAAGAAGAAAGCAGCAAUGCGCCGUGUGAGGGGCCUGCGUCCGAUUAGCUAGUUGGUGGGGUAAAGGCGUACCAAGGCACCGAUCGGUAGCUGGUCUGAGAGGAUGAUCAGCCACACUGGGACUGAGACACGGCCCAG
rnacentral:rRNA from 1 species